AUGAACGGGCCCUCGCACCCGGGCUCACCGCCAGCGGGUGGCUUUUGUAAAACAGCGAACGGCGAGAUAUAUGCGUUUAAUGUGGUAAAUAUAAGAGAAAUAUGUCAAAGACAUUUAUAUGUGCCAAUCUUCCUGCUGCCAGCUGGUGGUGCUAUGACUAUAACUAGAUUUUGGCAUGUACAUUUCUUCAGUCCAGCACUUUUAUCAAGCAUAUGAAAUUUAGUGCAGAUUGAACAUGGAAUGUUUGAGUUAUGUAACACAUGAGGUGUCCUAUUGCCAGCAGGUGGCGCUAUGAUUAUAGUGGAAUAUUGACCUUCAGAUGUGUUCAGGCCAAGACUCUUUUCGAACAUGUGAAGUUUGGGGAAGAUCGGACAUCUUAUGCCUGAGUUACAACAACUUCUAUUCCCAUGGCGAGACAUCGAACUUUGUCACGGCGCCAUGGCCACACCCUUUAAUGAAACCUCAAGAUGUUCACGAUUUAACAUCGCAAAGGCCUUUAGAUUAGACUGACCAAAAAAAAUUAUAAAAUGUCAUAAAAUAUCUAGGAGUAGUUUGUUACGGCGUAAAACAUGUCACUUCCUGUUGCCAGCAGGUGGCGCUAUAGCGAUAUCUGAAUAUUGGCAUGUAGAUAUAUUCAGGUCAGGAGUCUUCUCAAACAUGUGAAGUUUGGGGCAGAUUGUACAUUGUAUGUCUGAGUUAUAGCAACUUCCUUUCUCAUGGCGAAACAUCGAAAUUUGUAAGGCCGCCACAGACACGCCCUUAAACGAAACCUCAAGAUCUUCGCAAUUUAACAUCAUAAAGGCCUUUAGAUUACACUGACAAAGUUUGGUGUUGAUCUGAAUAAAUCUCUAGGAGGAGUUCGUUAAAGUACAACCCCUGAAAAUGGCAAAAAAACGACACAAAUUUUGUAGAGAAAAAUUCAAAAAUAACUGACUUCCUGUUGGGAUUCGAAUUUCGUACCAAGAGACUUUUUUUGUAGGUAUUGGUGUGUUACAUGUGUGUACCGAUUUUUGUACAUGUACGUGAAACGUAGCUCGAGGCGCACUCCGUUGAAAAUGUAUAGGUGGCGCUAUCGAGGCAUUUUGCCACACCCAAUGGAAUAUUGGCCUUCAGAUGUGUUCAGGCCAGGACUCUUAUCAAAUAUGUGAAGUUUGGGCAAGAUCGGACAUUUUAUGCCUGAGUUACAAUAACUUUUAUUCCCAUGGCGAGACAUCGAACUUUGUGACGGCGCCAUGGAAACGCCCUUUAACGAAAACUCAAGAUCUUCACAAUUUAACAUCGCACAGGCCUUUAGAAUAGAGUGACUGAAAAAAAAAAUGUAUGUCGUAAAAUUUCUCGGGGUAGUUUGUUACAGUGUAAAAUAUGUCACUUCCUGUUGCCAGUAGGUGGCGCUAUGGCUAUAACUGAAUAUGGGCGUGUCAAUCUGUUCAGGUCAGGAGUCUUAUCAAACAUGUGAAGUUUGUGGCAGAUUGGACAUUGUAUGUCUGAGUUAUAGCAACUUCAUUUUUCAUGGCGAAUCAUCGAAAUUCGUCAGGCCGCCACGGACAUGCCCUUCAACGAAAACUCAAGAUCUUCGCAAUUUAACAUCGCAAAGGCCUUUAGAUUAGGCAUACCAAAUUUGGUGUUGAUCUGAAUAAAUCUCUAGGAGGAGUUCGUUAAAAUACAAGGCAUGCAAAUGACAAAAAUUAUGCAAAAUUUGCUCAUAAAAUUAAAAAUAACCGACUUCCUGUUGGGUUUCAGAUAUUGCUCCAAGAGUCUUUUUUGUAGGUACUGAUGCUUUACAUAUGUGUGCCAAUUUUCGUGCAUCUACGUGAAACACAGCUUGAGGGCUGUUGAUUUCGUUACGAUAGGUGGCGCUGUCGAGCCAUUUUGCCACACCCUCUUCUGAAACCUAUAUCAGACGUAAAUUUUCACCAGGUCUGACGCGUGUGCAAAGUUUCAGGACUUUUCGAGCAUGUUUAGGCCCUCAAAAAUGCGAUUCAUUUUGGAGAAGAAGAAGAAGAAGAAGAAGAAGAAGAAGAAGAAGAAGAAGAAGAAGAAUAAUAAACGAAGCAGAUACAAGAGGGUCCUCACACCAUCGGUGCUCGUGCCCUAAUAAUAAACAAAGCAGAUACAAUAGGGUCCUCACACCAUCGGUGCUUGGGCCCUAAUAAACGAAGCAAUUCCAAUAGGGUCCUCACACCAUCGGUGCUCGGGCCCUAAUAAUAACAAUAAAUGUUUUUUUGUAGAAAAUAAGAUUGUUAAAAGGAUUUCUGAAGGAUUGUGUGACUGGAGUAAUGAUGCAAAAAAUUCUGUUUGAAAGUCAGCUUUGAUUUUUCCUAAUAAACUGUUUAACUGCACUCACAAGUGAAUAUUAAAUUAUGUUGUGGGAUAAUUAAAUAUAUUCUAAAUAAACUACAAACAUAAAAUUAUAUAGAUUUAUUUUGUCCUCACAUUCUUUCUUGUAACUCAUCCCUCUCAGUGACACAGCUGACUGAAUGGCUCAUUAUGCAGCUCAUUAUGCAGGUCUUUGUCUUCUCAGGUGUGAAUUCAUGAUAGUUGACGCCUACUCGCAUAUGACUUUUACCAACAAAAAGUCUCUUAGAAAAUUUAAAUCAAUAUUUUGUUUUCUGUAAGUGAGUAAACAAGAUGAUUUUCACAUCAUUUAGAAAAAAAAAUUCUAGGCUACAAGCUCCAGUUCUCAAAAGUCCCGGGAGCCAAUGUUCUGUAUGUGUUUUAUUGCCUUUUUCAAGUGAUUUAACAUUUUUAGUUUUUCACUAACCACGCAUAACAUUUUUUUUCUCAAAAACACAAUCAUGUACAUACAUGCUGCUCACAUAUUAUUAUAGCCUAGUUUGUGCUGAUUACAGUGAGAUUAGACUUUAGCCAUUUAGAUAUUUAUAAGAAACUGAAAAAAGCACAAAUGUCAGGGCAUGACAAAACUUCUCCAGGCCCCAAAAAUACCCUUAGACUCCAGAGGGUUAAUGAUGAACGAAUCAUUUACAAAACAUGAUUAUAUGUUCAUAAAUGAUUAAUGAGUGGUAUGCUAACGAUUUACAAAUGUGUUGUAAGUUAUCUUAAAAAAAGUUCAUAUCAUGAAAUAAAUCAAACUGAUCAUUAGAUGGUUUAUAAGUUAUUAGUUGAUACAAUAUUUAUCACUUAUAAAUCAUUGAAGUAUUUCUGUCAAAAUUGUUUUGUAUAAUUAUCUCAAUAAACAAUUGUUAAUCAUGAACAAAUGAUGAAUAAACCAUUAGUAAAUGAUCAGUAUAUGAUUUAUUGAUGAAGUUGUAAGCUGGUCUGUGUUCAUAAGCACAAACAUGCAGGUAUGCUAAAGCACUAUUUUUAAGAAGAGUAAUUCAUUUGGUUUGAAGUGGAUAAACAUUUAUAGAUGCCUUAGUCAGGUGAUUCCAGUGGCUUGUGUUAAAUCCUUUCACUCAUCAGCACAGACUUGUGUUCUGUGUGGAGUGUGUGGAUCUAGUGAUGAAGUGAACCCCUUCCACUGAAGCUCACAUCAGGUGCACAGAGUUAAAGACUCCAUGUGUGUCAGAGAAGACCCUCACCAGUCAGCACUUAGUACACACUACAAAGUGUUCAACACCUGUUAUAGAUGAUGUGUAAACACAUGAAUAAAUCAUUUACAAAGCUUUCUGCAUCCCCUAAUCUAAAGUGUAAACUUCUCAUCACUUGUAAAUGUGUUACAUAUAAUUGUAGACCUUUCUUACCUGUUACAAAUUAUUUGUAUAUGUACACAAGUCAUUUAUAACACUUUCUGCAUCCCCUAAAGUGAAAACUAUUCAUCACUUCUAAAUCUGUCAUGUUCUUAAUUAAUUAAUUUAUUUUUUAAAAUGAUACACUUUUUGCUCGUCCUAUCUAGCUCUGCGAUGCACAUGCAUACUCUGUGUACAACGGUUCAAGACAGGGUAUGUCUAAAAACUCCCAACACUUUUCUGCUCCAACUUCAAAAUAGUCCUACAUUGUUGUUUAAUUAUAAAAAAUUGUUAUUUUCUUUGGAAAAAGUGUUUGAGCAUCCUUGCACGUUCACUUUGUAAACACUGGGUCGG
ensembl:lncRNA